CCUACGGGAGGCAGCAGUGGGGAAUAUUGGACAAUGGGGGAAACCCUGAUCCAGCGACGCCGCGUGAGUGAAGAAGUAUUUCGGUACGUAAAGCUCUAUCAGCAGGGAAGAAAAUGAUGGUACCUGACUAAGAAGCCGCGGAUAACUACGUGCCAGCAGCAGCGGUAAGACGCAGGGGGCAAGCGUGAUCCGGAUUUAGGGGGGGUUAAGGGAGCGUAGACGGCAGGGGAAGUCUGGAGGGAAAUGCCGGGGCCCAACCCCCGAACUGCUCUGGAAACUGGGAGGCUGGAGUGCAGGAGAGGUAAGCGGAAUUCCUGGUGUAGCGGUGAAAUGCGUAGAUAUCGGGAGGAACACCGGCGGCGAAGGCGGCUUACUGGACUGUAACUGACGUUGAGGCACGAAGGCGUGGGGAGCAAACAGGAUUAGAUACCCCUGUAGUC
rnacentral:rRNA from 1 species